UGAAUUCUCUCUUGCCUUUCCACCACCUUAACUACUGUGUGGUGAGCGAACUGGUGCAGAAAGACUGCUGUUGUAUCAUCCAGCCCAAAAACAUGAUAUGGUGAACUGGAUUUUCCAGAUAGUACCCGGGAAUGAAUGUGUGUUCCAGAGAGCCAUAAACCUGCAUAGGACAACUGGGAAUGGGACAAAGAAACUGUCGUGAAUGGGAUUUGUGGAGGAUGUCUGUGAUCGUACACAAGGAUCUGAGAGAACCUUCAGCUGUGAUUUUGGAGAUAGAUGUACAGGAAUCUAUUCGCAUCACUUGUACAUCACUUUGGACAAAAGUAUCUGCUAAAUAUAAUUAAGCGUAAAGUGUGAAUGUAAAGGAGUCGUGCUGACCUGAAGUCUGAGGUCAGUCUUUCUGAGACUUACCUGUUGUGUAAAAAUGCUACUACUUGUCUUCUAUUUCUGCCAGUGAUUGUAGAGCACUCCUGUGAAUUACUAUACACGAUAUUGGCAAGACAACAUAUAGAUGUACUUGGUACAUA